AGAUCAUAAAGGCCAAUCUCUCUCCUUCAAGUGGACAACAUCAGCAAGAGGACACAAUGACCAGUCUCUCUCCUUCAUUGGCCACUAUCAACAUGAGGUCACAACGGCCAGCCUCUCUCUCUCCUUCAGGGAGGCAGCAUCCUUAUGAGGUCACAGUGGCCAGGAGAGGAGAGGAAAAAACCAGACCACAGCAAGCUGUGUGUGCAGAUGGUAGGUGCAAGUGUGGCCUGGCACCCCAAAGUCAAUGGUGAGCCUUCAAAGUGCAGUAACCGUCACAGGUUGAGGGCAGAGUACAGAGAAGAGAUGGACUAGGCAGCAACUGAUGGGCAAAGCAGCAGUAGAACAGCUGAGAGGAGACUACAGAAGAAGAGAGGAAGGAUAGGAGGAAGCACCCAGCACUUGGAGGGGAAGAGAGAAGGUUUCAGCAACACACUUGUGCAUGCAGUGACAUCUAGUGACAAAGAACACAAAUGGGACUCAGGGAAAUUUCGGUGGAGAAUUAUUAUCUAUGAUUUUUUUAAAAAGCCAAAAUUCAACUAUAAUCUCUCUCUCUC